GACGAACGCUGGCGGCGUGCCUAAUACAUGCAAGUAGAACGCUGAAGAGAGGAGCUUGCUCUUCUUGGAUGAGUUGCGAACGGGUGAGUAACGCGUAGGUAACCUGCCUUGUAGCGGGGGAUAACUAUUGGAAACGAUAGCUAAUACCGCAUAACAAUGGAUGACACAUGUCAUUUAUUUGAAAGUGGCAAUUUCUCCACUACAAGAUGGACCUGCGUUGUAUUAGCUAGUAGGUGAGGUAAUGGCUCACCUAGGCGACGAUACAUAGCCGACCUGGGAGGGUGAUCGGCCACACUGGGACUGAGACACGGCCCAGACCCCUACGGGAGGCAGCAGUAGGGAAUCGUCGGAAAUGGGGGCAACCCUGACCGAGAAACGCCGAGUGAGUGAAGAAGGUUUUCGGAUCGUGAAGCUCGGUUGUAAGUCAAGAACGGGUGUGAGAGUGGAAAGUUCACACUGUGACGGUAGCUUACCAGAAAGGGACGGCUAACUACGUG
rnacentral:rRNA from 1 species